GACGAACGCGGCGGCGUGCCUAAUACAUGCAAGUAGAACGCACAGGAUGCACCGUAGUUUACUACACCGUAUUCUGUGAGUUGCGAACGGGUGAGUAACGCGUAGGUAACCUGCCUGGUAGCGGGGGAUAACUAUUGGAAACGAUAGCUAAUACCGCAUAAGAACAUUUACUGCAUGGUAGAUGUUUAAAAGGUGCAAGAGCAUCACUACCAGAUGGACCUGCGUUGUAUUAGCUAGUUGGUGAGGUAACGGCUCACCAAGGCAACGAUACAUAGCCGACCUGAGAGGGUGAUCGGCCACACUGGGACUGAGACACGGCCCAGACUCCUACGGGAGGCAGCAGUAGGGAAUCUUCGGCAAUGGGGGGAACCCUGACCGAGCAACGCCGCGUGAGUGAAGAAGGUUUUCGGAUCGUAAAGCUCUGUUGUUAAGGAAGAACGUGUGUGAGAGUGGAAAGUUCACACAGUGACGGUACUUAACCAGAAAGGGACGGCUAACUACGUGCCAGCAGCCGCGGUAAUACGUAGGUCCCGAGCGUUGUCCGGAUUUAUUGGGCGUAAAGCGAGCGCAGGCGGUUAGAUAAGUCUGAAGUGAAAGGCAGUGGCUCAACCAUUGUAGGCUUUGGAGACUGUUUAACUUGAGUGCAGAAGGGGAGAGUGGAAUUCCAUGUGUAGCGGUGAAAUGCGUAGAUAUAUGGAGGAACACCGGUGGCGAAAGCGGCUCUCUGGUCUGUAACUGACGCUGAGGCUCGAAAGCGUGGGGAGCGAACAGG
rnacentral:rRNA from 1 species